rnacentral:rRNA from 1 species
GGGAAUCUUCCACAAUGGGCGAAAGCCUGAUGGAGCAACGCCGCGUGUGUGAUGAAGGCUUUCGGGUCGUAAAGCACUGUUGUAUGGGAAGAACAGCUUUAAUAGGGAAUGAUUUUAGUUUGACGGUACCAUACCAGAAAGGGACGGCUAAAUACGUGCCAGCAGCCGCGGUA